rnacentral:rRNA from 1 species
AGCAGCCGCGGUAAUUCCAGCUCCAAUAGCGUAUAUUAAAGUUGUUGCAGUUAAAAAGCUCGUAGUUGAAUUUCGAGACCGGCUUACUGGUCGUGCUAUUGUGCGUACUGGUAUAAUCGGUUUCUCCUUUCUGACGAACUAUAAUGCCAUUAAUUUGGUGUUAUAGGGAAUCAGGACUGUUACUUUGAAAAAAUUAGAGUGUUUAAAGCAGGCUCACGCUUGAAUACAUUAGCAUGGAAUAACGGAAUAGGACGUUUGAUUCUAUUUUGUUGGUUUCUAGGAUCGACGUAAUGAUUAAUAGGGAUAGUUGGGGGCAUUAGUAUUCAAUUGUCAGAGGUGAAAUUCUUGGAUUUAUUGAAGACUAACUACUGCGAAAGCAUUUGCCAAGGAUGUUUUCAUUAAUCAAGAACGAAAGUUAGGGGAUCGAAGACGAUCAGAUACCGUCGUAGUCUUAACCAUAAACUAUGCCGACUAGGGAUCGGAUGAUGUUAAUUUUUAAUGGCCCAUUCGGCGCCUUACG